GGGUGUAGCUCAGUGGUAGAGCAUUUGCCUACCAGGUGCAAAGCCCUGGGUUCAUUCCCCAGUACCACCA
rnacentral:tRNA from 1 species